rnacentral:rRNA from 2 species
UACGGAGGGUGCAAGCAUUAAUCGGAAUUAUUGGGCGUAAAGGGCGCGUAGGCGGAUAUGUAAGUCAGAUGUGAAAUUCCGAAACUCAAUUUCGGAGCUGCAUUUGAAACUACAAAUCUCGAGGAUUGGCGGAGAGAACGGAAUUCCACGUGUAGCGGUGAAAUGCGUAGAUAUGUGGAAGAACACCGGUGGCGAAAGCGGUUCUCUAGCUUAUACCUGACGCUGAGGCGCGAGAGCAAGGGGAUCAAACAGG